AUGUGCCUGUACGUGCCCUCUACACCUGGGUCGAUUUCCUCCUCAGCUGCGGCGGUGGCCAAUGUGUGCAUCAUCUCUUCUCUUUCCAAUCAGAUGCUGGGUGCAAAACUCCAACAAUACUUCCAUCUGCAGCAACAAACUCUGGUAGAGUUAACUCACGUCAGCAUAAGGCAUGAAGCUUUGGAAUAUGCAGAAAAAGUACUUGCACUAAGAGGUGCAUUUGGAUGCAAGGAACCAUUGGUGCGCAUAUGCUACUGCCACAAAAUCAAUUUCCCAUCUACUUCUUAUUUCAGUCACAUGAAUGGUAUCAAUGCAAACAAUUAG
rnacentral:rRNA from 1 species